rnacentral:rRNA from 1 species
UACGUAGGGGGCGAGCGUUGUCCGGAUUUAUUGGGUUUAAAGGGUGCGUAGGCGGCCCUGUAAGUCAGUGGUGAAAUACUCCAGCUUAACUGGAGGGGUGCCAUUGAUACUGCAGGGCUUGAGUGGAGUCGAAGUAGGCGGAAUUGACGGUGUAGCGGUGAAAUGCUUAGAUAUCGUCAAGAACACCGAUAGUGAAGACAGCUUACUAGGCUUCUACUGACGCUGAGGCACGAAAGUGUGGGGAUCAAACAGG